rnacentral:misc_RNA from 1 species
GGUUUUUAUGUUUCUCUUUGUGAAUACAGGUUAUAUUGGGUCAUGGACACGGAAGUAUGCGCGCCUGUGCAAACUGUACAAUGCAAGAAGAAGGAGAAGAAAAAUAGAGGGAAGAGUAAGUCACGUAAACGGUAUGUGAAUGGUUCAAGAAGACGUGGUUGUCGUGGUGGUGUGGAAAAUCGUGAGCGAAGGUUGAAGAAGUUGGAGAAGCUGCAUUCCACGUAGGUUGGCACUGUGGCUCCAACAUUAGCAUCAAGUCCUAAUGGUUCUUCGGUCAUUGACUUGACCCUGUCCCAUGAGAAUACCAUUGAGUUUCC